GCUUUAAGGAGCAUCUCUUGCUACUAUUUAAAAUAGGUUGGGGAGCCAUACUUUUUUUUUUAUCUACUUCUUGAUUCAUGUAGAGUAGAAUAACUUAUUCUCCCCCCCUUGUAAUUAUUACUUUCCCCUCUUUUGUUUAUAAAUUUUUCUUUUAUAUUUAACAAAAAAAAGAGUGGAUUUUAGGUAUGAAUGGACCUUUCUAUAUCUUCUCAUUCUGCAAAUUAAUCCUGUUUGGUUUAUCCAUUUUAUUGUUAUCCUAACUAUAUUGCUAGAUCAUAUGUCUUUUGGUUUCUGUAGGAAAAGAAUCAUGAAUUGUUUAGUGCAUUAGAUUUGCAUGGUACCUCUUUUACCUUUGAAAAAGGCACAUUUUGUACUAUUUGAUCAAAAUACUUGCAGUUUUGUGUACUUUGAGUAGCUAUAUAUCCUUUAACUGCAUAUUCUGAAUUUCAGACACAGGCCGGGAAGAAGCUUCCAUUUAUACUUGUCAUUAAUC
rnacentral:misc_RNA from 1 species